GACGAACGCUGGCGGCGUGCUUAACACAUGCAAGUCGAACGGAAAGGCCCUGCUUUUGUGGGGUGCUCGAGUGGCGAACGGGUGAGUAACACGUGAGUAACCUGCCCUUGACUUUGGGAUAACUUCAGGAAACUGGGGCUAAUACCGGAUAGGAGCUCCUGCUGCAUGGUGGGGGUUGGAAAGUUUCGGCGGUUGGGGAUGGACUCGCGGCUUAUCAGCUUGUUGGUGGGGUAGUGGCUUACCAAGGCUUUGACGGGUAGCCGGCCUGGGAGGGUGACCGGCCACAUUGGGACUGAGAUACGGCCCAGACUCCUACGGGAGGCAGCAGUGGGGAAUAUUGCACACUGGGCGGAAGCCUGAUGCAGCAACGCCGCGUGCGGGAUGACGGCCUUCGGGUUGUAACCCGCUUUCGCCUGUGACGAAGCGUGAGUGACGGUAAUGGGUAAAGAAGCACCGGCUAACUACGUG
rnacentral:rRNA from 1 species